GGUUAAGCGACUAAGCGUACACGGUGGAUGCCCUGGCAGUCAGAGGCGAUGAAGGACGUGCUAAUCUGCGAAAAGCGCCGGCGAGGUGAUAUGAACCUUUGACCCGGCGAUGUCCGAAUGGGGAAACCCAGUGUGAUUCGUCACACUAUCGUUAACUGAAUACAUAGGUUAACGAGGCGAACCGGGGGAACUGAAACAUCUAAGUACCCCGAGGAAAAGAAAUCAACCGAGAUUCCCCCAGUAGCGGCGAGCGAACG
rnacentral:rRNA from 1 species